UCGCCUAAAAUCGCGAUUUCACCACCGAUUGAAAGAGUUUGCCCGCAGGAGAACAAAAUUCAGUGUAGUUGCCACGUGUCACCCGCCUAUUGGCUUGAACAGAUCGAAGGCAAAGUAACUGUGACUCACCGAAUCAGUCUUCUCUCUUCAGUCUUCUCUUCAGUGACAUUCACAAUUCAGUAAUUCACGAAAUCCCUAAAUUGAAAAUCUCAAAUUUAACAACCAACAGUCUUCUCUCUUCAGUCUUCUCUUCACCGAAUCAGUCUUCUCUCUUCAGUCUUCUCUUAAUCUCUUGCAGUCUUCCUCUCAGCCAACAAUCAACCACCGUCACAGCCCUCGCUCGUCCCUCGUCUGCAUUAUUUCCAUCAUCGACGAUGUUCUUUCCACCGGCCACUGUGAGAAUCACAGUCCACACAACAACAACGGUCAACGACGUCUCUCCAGUCUUCACGAGAAUCAACAUCAAAUUGAGCAGUGGAGGGAACAAUAGAGAAGCAAGUUGAUUACUUAUUCAGGAUGUCCUUUACCUGGGACUGCAAUGAGUUGAUUUUUCCUUUUUAAUUUCAUAUAGUUGUAAUAACAACACAUGAAAAUUCUAUUUAAUAGCAUUGAAAAAAUUGGAAGUUCUCCAUUUAAAUUAGUAUUUCUGUAUUUAUAUUGUUGAGUUUCACCAUGAACCUGAAUAGUAUUCGUUGCUCUCAGCAACAGAAAGAUGAA